UCGGGAAUUUUGGGCAAUGGGCGAAAGCCUGACCCAGCAACGCCGCGUGAAGGAUGAAGUAUUUCGGUAUGUAAACUUCGAAAGAAUAGGAAGAAUAAAUGACGGUACUAUUUAUAAGGUCCGGCUAACUACGUGCCAGCAGCCGCGGUAAUACGUAGGGACCAAGCGUUGUUCGGAUUUACUGGGCGUAAAGGGCGCGUAGGCGGCAAUUCAAGUCAUCUGUGAAAUCUCCGGGCUUAACUCGGAACGGUCAGAUGAUACUGCUUUGCUAGAGUGCAGAAGGGGCAAUCGGAAUUCUUGGUGUAGCGGUGAAAUGCGUAGAUAUCAAGAGGAACACCUGAGGUGAAGACGGGUUGCUGGGCUGACACUGACGCUGAGGCGCGAAAGCCAGGGGAGCAAACGGGAUUAGAUACCCCAGUAGUCCCUGAGCGGGCUGGCAAGGCGC
rnacentral:rRNA from 1 species